GCCCUAGUAGCUUAGCUACAAAGCGCCGGUCUUGUAAUCCGGAGAUCAAGGGUUUAACCCCCUUCUAGCGCC
rnacentral:tRNA from 1 species